AAAAGGACAAAUUUUUUUGUUUAUAAAAAUGGAAGUAGCGACUGUUUAAUAAAACAUAAGAUUUUGCAAAAUUUUUUUGAUGAUGUAUAAGAUCUGACAUCUGCCCAGUGCUGCAAGAAAAAAAUUAAUAUUAUAUAUAUUAAUAUAAUUCCCAGUAAACGGCGGCCGUAACCCUGACGGUCCUAAGGUAGCGAAAUUCCUUGGCGGGUAAGUUCCGUCCCGCAUGAAUGAUGUAACGACUGCUUCGCUGUCUCCAAUAUUAUACUUAUGAAUUUAAAUUAAUUGUGAAGAUGCAAUUUUGAUAUAGCUAGACGGAAAGACCCUAUGCACCUUUUACUAUAAACUAUAAUAAAAAUAAGAAAAUAAAAAUAAUAGUUAUGUAGUAAUUUAUAUUAAAAAUAGAAAAACUAACUUUUUAUUUUUUAUUUUUAUUAUUAUAAAAAUUAAUAUUAUAUUAUA
rnacentral:rRNA from 1 species